rnacentral:rRNA from 1 species
CCCUUAGAUGUUCUGGGCUGCACGCGCGCGACAAUGACGUUUGCAACGAGAUACGAGACCGAAAGGUUAAGUUGAUCUAGCAAGCUGCGUCGUGAUAGGGACUGUCGAUUGCAAUUAUUCGACACGAACGAGGAAUUCCUUGUAAUCGCACAUCAUCAGUGUGCGCUGAAUACGUCCCUGCCCUUUGUACACACCGCCCGUCGCUCCUACCGAUCGAGUGAUCCGGUGAAUGUUUUGGAUCGGUUGCAAGUUGCGCGACGCGCUUCUUGCAUGCUGUGAAAUCAUGUAAGCCUUAUUGCUUAGAGGAAGGAGAANUCGUAACA